GACGAACGCUGGCGGCGCGCCUAACACAUGCAAGUCGAACGAGCGAGAGAGAGCUUGCUUUCUCGAGCGAGUGGCGAACGGGUGAGUAACGCGUGAGGAACCUGCCUCAAAGAGGGGGACAACAGUUGGAAACGACUGCUAAUACCGCAUAAGCCCACGACCCGGCAUCGGGUAGAGGGAAAAGGAGCAAUCCGCUUUGAGAUGGCCUCGCGUCCGAUUAGCUAGUUGGUGAGGUAACGGCCCACCAAGGCGACGAUCGGUAGCCGGACUGAGAGGGUGAACGGCCACCUUGGGACUGAGACACGGCCCAGACUCCUACGGGAGGCAGCAGUGGGGAAUAUUGCACAAUGGGGGAAACCCUGAUGCAGCGACGCCGCGUGGAGGAAGAAGGUCUUCGGAUUGUAAACUCCUGUUGUUGAGGAAGAUAAUGACGGUACUCAACAAGGAAGUGACGGCUAACUACGUG
rnacentral:rRNA from 1 species